rnacentral:rRNA from 1 species
UACGGAGGAUCCAAGCGUUAUCCGGAUUUAUUGGGUUUAAAGGGUGCGUAGGCGGGAUUUUAAGUCAGUGGUGAAAGUUUGCGGCUCAACCGUAAAAUUGCCAUUGAAACUGAAGUUCUUGAGUACAAAUGAGGUAGGCGGAAUGUGUUGUGUAGCGGUGAAAUGCAUAGAUAUAACACAGAACACCAAUUGCGAAGGCAGCUUACUGGGAUGUAACUGACGCUGAGGCACGAAAGCGUGGGGAUCAAACAGG